CAAAAUAAAGCUGAAAGUAAGCAUCUCAUUUACACCGAGAAGGGUAUCGUGUGAUUCGAUUUAUUUUGA
rnacentral:tRNA from 1 species